rnacentral:rRNA from 1 species
AUUGAACGCUGGCGGCAUGCCUUACACAUGCAAGUCGAACGGCAGCACGGGGGCGAACCCUGGUGGCGAGUGGCGAACGGGUGAGUAAUACAUCGGAAUGUACCCAGUAGUGGGGGAUAACUAGUCGAAAGAUUAGCUAAUACCGCAUACGCACUAUGGUGGAAAGCGGGGGAGUCGCAAGACCUCGCGCUAUUGGAGCAGCCGAUGUCCGAUUAGGUAGUUGGUGGGGUAAUAGCUCACCAAGACGAUGAUGUCUAGGGGUUCUGAGAGGAUGAUCCCCCACACUGGUACUGAGACACGGACCAGACCAGUUACCGAUCGCAGGCUUGG